rnacentral:rRNA from 1 species
AACGAACGCUGGCGGCGCGUCUUAAGCAUGCAAGUCGAACGGCAAGAGAGGAGCUUGCUUCUCUCCUAGAGUGGCGGACUGGUGAGGAACACGUGGGUAAUCUACCCUUAAGAUGGGGAUAGCUGCUAGAAAUAGCAGGUAAUACCGAAUACACUCGGCAUAUCACAAGAGGUGUUGAGGAAAGGAAGCUACGGCUUCGCUUGAGGAUGAGCUUGCGUCCCAUUAGCUAGUUGGUGAGGUAAAGGCCCACCAAGGCGACGAUGGGUAUCCGGCCUGAGAGGGUGAACGGACACAUUGGGACUGAGAUACGGCCCAAACUCCUACGGGAGGCAGCAGCUAAGAAUAUUCCGCAAUGGACGGAAGUCUGACGGAGCGACGCCGCGUAGAUGAAGAAGGCUGAAAAGUUGUAAAAUCCUUUUGUUGAUGAAGAAUAAGGGUGAGAGGGAAUGCUCAUCUGAUGACGGUAAUCGACGAAUAAGCCCCGGCUAAUUACGUG